UACGUAGGGUGCAAGCGUUGUCCGGAAUUAUUGGGCGUAAAGAGCGCGCAGGCGGCUACGCACGUCCGUUGUGAAAUCGCUCGGCUCAACUGGGCGGGGUCAGCGGAUACGGCGUGGCUGGAGCAAGCUAGGGGGCAAUGGAAUUCCCGGUGUAGUGGUGGAAUGCGUAGAUAUCUGGAGGAACACCGGUGGCGAAGGCGGCUCUCUGGACCACUACUGACGCUGAGGCGCGAAAGCUAGGGGAGCAAACAGG
rnacentral:rRNA from 1 species